rfam:Aedes aegypti strain Liverpool supercont1.645 genomic scaffold, whole genome shotgun sequence.
GCCCAGAUAGCCGUAGCGGUAAACGCGCAGCUAUUCAGCAUGACUAAGCUGAGGGUCGUGGGUUCGAAUCCCACCGUGGGUU